GAGUGGAAAGAAGGAGAAGGAGACAUAAUGAUUCAGAUCGCUAUUGUCAUAAUGAUGAAGAGAAACAUGUUUUUAGAUCAAGGAGGGGCCAAAGACAAGAGGAGUUUGGGAACCACAUGGUUGGAAGGGAUAAUGAUGAAGAUAAGCAUGGUUUUAGACUAAGGCAUGGCCAAAGACGGGAAAAUUUUGGGAACUGCACACUUAGAAGAGAUAAGAUGUGGAGAAAAUUGUUAUCCCUAAAUUUAAUGAAGCUGAUGACCUCGAAGUGUACCUGGCUUGAGAAAUGAAGCUUAACUAAAUCUUCAGCUCUUAUGAUUUUGAGGAUGAUGAUAAGGUUCUUAUGAAGUCCCUUGAGUUUUAAGGUUAUGCUAUGAAUUGGUGGAAUCAAAUUACCGUGGACAUAGCUAGAAAGCGAAGGUUGUCAAUCUAUACAUAGGAGCAAUUAAAGUUAGCCAUGAAG
rnacentral:lncRNA from 1 species